ensembl:lncRNA
GUCCAUCCCUGUAGUCCAUCCCUGUAGUCCAUCACAUGAGUCCAUCAGUGUAGUCCAUCACUGGAGUCCAUCCCUGUAGUCCAUCACAUGAGUCCAUCACUGGAGUCCAUCACUGGAGUCCAUCCCUGUAGUCCAUCACAUGAGUCCAUCACUGGAGUCCAUCACAUGAGUCCAUCACAUGAGUCCAUCACUGGAGUCCAUCACUGGAGUCCAUCCCCUGUAGUCCAUCACAUGAGUCCAUCACUGGAGUCCAUCACAUGAGUCCAUCACAUGAGUCCAUCACAUGAGUCCAUCACAUGAGUCCAUCACAUGAGUCCAUCACUGGAGUCCAUCACAUGAGUCCAUCACAUGAGUCCAUCACUGGAGUCCAUCACAUGAGUCCAUCCCUGUAGCCAUCCCUGGA